ACCGUGACAGCUCAGUUGGUAGGGCUUCUGCCCUGAAAGCGGAGGGUUGCCGGUUCGAUUGCGGCUCACGGCG
rnacentral:tRNA from 1 species